UACGGGGGGGGCAAGCGUUGUCCGGAAUUACUGGGCGUAAAGGGCUCGUAGGCGGCCAACUAAGUCAGACGUGAAAUCCCUCGGCUUAACCGGGGAACUGCAUCUGAUACUGGAUGGCUUGAGUUCGGGAGAGGGAUGCGGAAUUCCAGGUGUAGCGGUGAAAUGCGUAGAUAUCUGGAGGAACACCGGUGGCGAAGGCGGCAUCCUGGACCGACACUGACGCUGAGGAGCGAAAGUCAGGGGAGCAAACGGG
rnacentral:rRNA from 1 species